UGGGGAAUCUUGCGCAAUGGGCGAAAGCCUGACGCAGCGACGCCGCGUGCGGGAAGAAGGCCUUCGGGUUGUAAACCGCUUUCAGGAGGGACGAAGCCACCCGGGUUAAUAGCCCAGAGGGUGACGGUACCUCCAGAAGAAGCCCCGGCUAACUACGUGCCAGCAGCCGCGGUAAUACGUAGGGGGCAAGCGUUGUCCGGAUUUAUUGGGCGUAAAGCGCGUGUAGGCGGCCAGGUAAGUCGGCUGUGAAAACUCGAGGCUCAACCUCGAGAUGUCGGCCGAAACUAUCUGGCUAGAGUCCGGAAGAGGAGAAUGGAAUUCCCGGUGUAGCGGUGAAAUGCGCAGAUAUCGGGAAGAACACCCGUGGCGAAGGCGGUUCUCUGGGACGGUACUGACGCUGAGACGCGAAAGCGUGGGGAGCGAACAGG
rnacentral:rRNA from 1 species